UACAGAGGUCUCAACCGUUGUUCGGAUUCAUUGGGCGUAAAGGGUGCGUAGGCGGUCGGGUAAGUCGGAUGUGAAAUCUCGGGGCUUAACUCCGAAACUGCAUUCGAUACUGCCGUGCUUGAGGACUGGAGAGGAGACUGGAAUUUACGGUGUAGCGGUGAAAUGCGUAGAUAUCGUAAGGAAGACCAGUGGCGAAGGCGGGUCUCUGGACAGUUCCUGACGCUGAGGCACGAAGGCCAGGGGAGCAAACGGG
rnacentral:rRNA from 1 species